ACACCUCUGCGCCCACAAGGCCGCUAGACUUAUCUGUACCUGCACAAUAAAAUGUGCAGCAAGUGCAACAUAAGUACGUAAACAACGUAUACCCAGUAAGUAUCAAGCCUAAUCUCGAAGAGGUAGAGACGAGAAGGUCGACUUUAACACUCACUAUGGGUCAGUAAUGUUAAAUAACAUGAAAAUAGAAAUAUUUAAAUCAACAUGAUUCACAGAGUUAACAAUAAUUUUAUUUAACCAAUAGAAAUAAUUAAAUUCCUUCACAUACAACAAUUCCCAAUAAUUUUCAAUUUAUCAAAUUAGCUUCACGAGCUGAAAUACAAUAUCAAGGUAUCAUGUAAUUAUUAUUAGGCACGAUUUCCGAUGUGGUCGUAUGGCCUAAUUCAGAGUAUCGUGUACACUGCCGAGGGACGUGCGACAUGAUCCAUAGAUGCAUCUAUAUUGCCGAGGCAUUCGGCCUGCUCCACAAGAAAGGAAGAUAUUUUCUUAUGUACCUCUGGAAGGAGAGUUUAUUUAUUAGAAGAUUGAUUCGAGAGGAUGAACUAAUUCUUUUAACAAUUAAUAAAUUUAAACAUAAAAUUAAGUAUAUGAGAUUUUCCAUCUUUUGCUAUAUUUUCCUAACAAUUCACAAUAUUUACAAUUAAUGUAAUUAAAUAAAGAAUAUAAUUUACAUACGUAAUUCAUGAUUUGAGUCCUAAACUACCCGGACUUUAGCAUAAAUAGUAGCUAUGUACGGACUCUCGUCACCUCGUGCGUACGUAGCCCCCACAUUUAACAACGAUUAUUAAUUUAAUCACCUAUGGGGUAAAUUCCCCCUCACAAGAUUAGACAAGAGACUUACCUUGUCUCAAAGUCCACUUUCCGAUCACCACGUCGCGUUAAAUUCUCAAUUCUAUGCCAAAAAAUCCGAACUAUCCAAAAGUUAUAUAAAAUAAUUAAUACACGUUCAAUAAUUUGAAAUUUAUCUAUUAAAUAAAUUACCCUAUCCAAAAUGGUAAAAUUCCUAAAAUUCACUCUGGAUCCACGUGCCCGGAUUCCGGAAAUCUUCGAAGGAAAACGUUACCCAUAAUCUCAAGAACUCAAAUAUAUAAUUUCUAUACAUUUCCAUAACCAUUUUUCAUGGUAAAAUUUAAAAAUACCAAUUCCUAGGUUUUUCUUCAAAACCCCAAAUUUCUACAAAUUUUCAUGUCUAAAUCCAUGUAUAAACCUUGUAUUUUAACUCACAACUAGUAGGAAUCACUUAACUCAAGAUUGAUGGUGAAAAUGGUUCUAAAAAUCGUCCCCAAAAUCGGCUCCCGUGAAGAAAUGGGGUGGAAAUGAGUCCAACCCCGUCUUUAACAGACGCAUUCGCGACAAAUGCCUAGCGUUCGCGAAGACCAAAUGUUCCUUCCCCAGCAUUUCCUCUUCGCAUUCGCGUGACCAGUGUCGCGUUCGCGAAGGCCUGUCCAUGCAAGGCAUCUCGUUCGCGUUCGCGAAGGCCAAGAGACCUCAGGCCCAACUCCUCCAUUUCUUCUACACAUUCGCGACUGACCCCUCGCGUUCACAUAGGCUCCUCAGUCACCUCUCCGCGUUCGCAAUCCCUCCUUCGCAUUCACGAAGGCCAUAUCCAGCACCCCCAAAAUUUCUUCUUCGCGAACGCGAGACUUCCCGCGUUAGCGAAGAAGGAAAUCAAACACCAGAAACAGCAAUUCCAAAACAGUUCGAAAUGAUCUGAAACAUACCUGAGGUCCCUAGGACCCCGUCCAAUUAUACCAAUCAGUCCCAUAACAUAACACAAACUUGCUCGAGACCUCAAAUUGCACCAAACAACAUCAAAAUUAUGAAUCGCACCCCAAUUCAAACUUAAUGAACUUUGAAACUUCACCUUCUACAAUCGAUGCCGAAACCUAUCAAAUCACGUCCGAUUGUCCUCAAAUUUUGCACACAAGUCAUAAUUGACAUUACGAACCUGCUCCAACUUCUGGAAUCCGUAUCCGACCCUGAUAUCAAAAAGUCCACUCCCGGUCAAACUUCUCAAAAUUAUCCAAAUUUCCAACUUUCGCCAAAUGACUCCAAAAUGAUCUAAGGACCUUCGAAUCCACUUCCGGACGCACUUUCAAUACCAAAAUCAUUAUACAGAGAUAUUCUUAGACUCAGAAUCCUAAACAGACAUUGAUAACAUUGAAAUGUUAUAUAUAUAUAUAUAUAUAUAUAUACGGAAUACAGUAGGGCAAGCCGACAAGGCCAUAUACUAUAUAAUUAUACAUGACUGUCUACAGACCUCUAAUAGAGUGUAAAAUAGUAUAAAGGAUGGGGUUGGGCCCCAUCAUACCCAUAUGUAUAUAAAAGUAUCGUACCAGGACUCAAUAGCAGCUCCAGAUCAAAUGGAGCACACCAACUCUCGUUGAGCAAGGAUCCUAAGAUGGGGGACCGUCAGACUGUCUACCUGCACCCGCGGGCAUGAAACGUAACGUCCCCAGGAAAAAGGGACGUCAGUACGAAUAAUGUACUGAGUAUAUAAGGCAUGAAAAUAAGUACAUAAAAAACAUAGAUGAAACAUGGAGUAAAGAAUUCCACAUGUGAGUCUAAAUAACUUUUUGAAUCCUAAAAUAUUUAUAAUGUCAUGCACGUGCGUGUAAAUGUCGUAUCAUGCAUAGGUAUAGGUGUACAUAACAGCAUCAGGCCUCUGAGGGCAUUCCAUCAUAUCAUCGCAGCCUCUGUGGGCGAAAUCAUAAAUGUAUACCAGUUGAUCAGGUGGUAGUAGGUAUAUAAUGCCAUAACCUUUCCUCAUACCCCAUAUACAUAUACUAUACACGUAUAUAACGUCAUCUGGACAUGGGUCAGUAUACAUGUAUAAAUGGAUGCAAUGCAUAAGUAAUACGUUAAUAAGAUUUCUCGAAUAUCAUAAAAUCAAUAUGCCUUUCGGACAAACUUUUUCAAAUACGUAUUUUUCUGAGACCUAUGAACAGAGGAUUUAAUAAUAAUUCAUAUGGGGAAUCAAGAAUAUAGACACCUCUAGUAUUUCUAUGAAUAGAGUCAUUUAUGAAAGUUGCGUAUUUUGCUCGUUUCGUUUGUAUCUUUUGGAUCAUGCCAAAAAGAAAGAAGGGAUAGCUUUAACAUACCGCAAGUCGUCAAUGCAACUCAACAACAAGCUUAUAACAACUAGCACGCCAACCCUAUAACAAAUAAAUACGUGUACAACUUAGAUGGCGGUAGUAUAUUACGUAUCUCAAACGAUAACUCGAUUCUAAAAUAAAACGUGCAGCAUUUUCCCUGAUUUUACUGCUCCCUCAAGCCUACUAUAGGCAAGAUACAAAAUAAUACAAUCAUCAACUCAAAACCAACCUAAUUACAAUUCGGGACCUUCAAUACAACAAAAAACCCAAAUAUACCAUAAUACACCCAAUCAACAAGUUAUCAAUUAGCCUGUAACCACAACGACGAGCGACCAACCUACUACCCUACCACAUGUGGAGUUUCUCCACGCCCUUUUAUACUUCCAAACUCCAUAAAUAAGCAGCACAAUAGACAGCCCAAAAGCAACACGAAACAGCUCACAAAACAGCCACUACAAGUCAAAUAACUCGAACUCACAGCCUUCGAUCACCGUCUCGUGAGCUCUAACUAUUAGGAAACAAAUUUAUCAACCUUUCUUGAUAUUUUAAAGCUUAAAUACAAAAAAUAGAAAUUUAUUAACUAUUAAAUAUAUUCCAAAACUCAAACUACGAAUAAAAAGAGGGGAGAUAUAGCGAUACUUAUGUCAUAGGGAUCGUUUUAGUGUUAUCGCUUCUUGAUUUCGUGCAUGGGAUGAUAAUCUUAUUUGAAGCUCUUGUAGAGAGCAUAAGGUUAAGGUUAGGGGUGUUAUUUGGGCGUGCUCUCUGGAAAAAUGGAGAAUGAGACGAUAUGGGAUGCAAAACUCCCAUUUUUUAGAAGUCAAAAAGGUGCUACUUGGCACCUUAUGAUUGGCAUUUCUUCCAACGCUUAUAACUUUUUAUUCGGGUGUCGUAUAAAUGAACGGUUAAGAGCGUUGGAGAAUACAUUCAAAUACCUUAAAUUUUAUAUAUAGUAUGUCCCAAAAAGACCUCAUAUAGCACACGAAAUGUUUUUCUCAAAAAGCUCUAUUACAAGGCAAAUCCUUAGUCGGUUUUCCGCAACUUUAAUCCGAUUUUCCCCAAACUUUAUUUUUUUUAUCCAAACCUCAUAUAUAUUCAUAUUAUGACUUUAAACUCAUUUAAAUCAUGAUUAACAAGUCUCAUAUUCAUUAUACAUCACCUUGGGACGCACAGGGUGUAACAAUCAUCCCUCCUUAGAAACAUUCGUCCUCGAAUGUUAAACUCCCAGAGAUUUAUAAAUAUUUUGGCAUAGUCUCCUCUGUAAUGGUCCACUACCAAUCUGUCAGACAGAAAACCCAACAAUACAUAACCACACAGGGCCACAAUCAUCAAUAACACUAGUGGUCUCACACGACUAAUGACAAUAACUAACAUAAGAAUCAAGUACCAUAUACGUACCUAAGAAUGUGAUGUCUCAGUCUGAUCCUCCUCCAAAAGUGGAAACAAGUGAGGAUACCUAGACUUCAUGUCUUUUUAAGCUUCCCAAGUCAUCUCCUCCACAUUAUUGUUCCUCCAAAGUACUUUAACUAAAGCUACGUCCUUAGUUCUCAAUCUCUGAACUUGUCUAUCUAGUAUAGCAAUGGGAGCUUUCUCAUAUGAUAGCUGCUCUGUGACCUGAACAUCGUCAACUAGAACGACUCUAAAAGAAUCUCCAAUACACUUGCGAAGCAUAGACACGUGAAAAACUGGAUGUACUAACUCCAAGUUGGAAGGCAAGUCCAACUCAUAUGCUACCUGGCCUACUCGGCGUAUGAUCUUAUAAAGUCCAAUGUACCGAGGGCUAAGCUUUUCUUUCUUACCGAAUCUCAUAAUGCCUUUCAUCGGUGAUACCUUUAGGAAUUCCUAGUCAUCUACAUGAAACUCUAAGUCUCGUCAUAUAUUAUCUGCAUAGGACUUCUGACGACUCUGAGCUGCUAAUAGCCUUUCCCGUAUAAGUUUAAUCUUCUCAAUUGCAUUUUGUACUAACUUUGGUCCUACUAACUUAGUUUCCCCAACCUCGAACCAUCCGAUAGGUGACCUACACUUUUGUCCAUAAAGAGUUUCGUAUGAAGCUAUCUGAAUGCUAUAAUGAUAAAUAUUAUUAUAUGCGAACUCAAUAAGUAGAAGAUGAUCAUCCCAGCUACACCUGAAGUUCUUCACACAAGCCUGUAGCAUAUCCUCCAGUGUCUAAAAAGUACGCUUGUCACACCUCUUUUUUCCCGAGGGGGAUAGGGGAGUUUUUUCAAAUUAAGUAACAUUAAUCGAAAUGGGAUUAUUUAUUUAUCAGAGUCCCCACUUGGAAUAAUCUAUGGUGUCCCAAGUCACCGGUUUAUUUUAAAAUCCCAAAUCGAGGAAAUUUGACUCAAUUUAUGGUCCGCGAACACAGAAGACCGGGGAAGGAAUUUUGUUAACCCGGUAGAAGGUGUGAGGCACUCCCGAGUUCCGUGGUUUUAGCACGGUCGUUCAACUAUUAAUAAUUGGACUAACUAUCUGAUUUAUUACAUGUUUAAAAACCUAUUGUGCUUUUUUAACUUUUAAACCGCUUUUAGUAUUUAUGGAACAAGUCGCGAUGUCGUACACUUGUCGUUUUGGUACACAUUACAAACCGCGCCACAUGAAAUGCACCCACGAUUUACGACAUAUUUAUUUUUAUUAUUAUUUGAAGUUGGGGUCGAGUUACGUGAAACACACACUCGGAUUGGGGAAUUAUGUAUCAUGAAUAUGCCACGAGAACCGUACCCAUAGUCACGAUGAGCUAUUAUUAAUCGCACCUAAAGCAACUAACGCUUGUUCAUAAUUUGUUUAAUUACUUCCUAUGGUUUAGGAUUAAAUGAUCGUAGAAAGAAUUUACAUCCACACAAUUCAACUAAGUUAGGAAAGCUUCCUACUUUCACAAAAUUAUACAAUUGUUACACCUUAUUAGCUUAUAUCUAAAAACUCACGUGAAUUGGGUUAAUUCUGAGAAUUACUAAAACGGGAUGGGCAGGUGUAGGAGACAUUCGUGUUCAAGGCCCAUUUCAAUUCUAAUUUUAGUAGAAUAUUCAAUUCAUAGAUAAUCACGAGGGUCAAUUCAUACAUAAUCACAACGGUCUUACCAAAUCAUCCAAGUGUAUAUCUAAUUACAAUUCAAUGACAGGAGAGUUUAUAAAUCAAUCCAAGUUGUGCAAAUGAUACUCUAACAAUUUACAGCGAUCGUUGAGCUUUCUCAUACAAGUUUAAUCUAUUUAUCAGGAUGUUCAUUGUCCAAUGAGUGCUACUAAUACCCAGCUACACUCAACAAUCAACAUCACGAAAGAGUAAAGCUAGGCAGAUCUAAGCCAAACAAUAUGCCCAAUUCAGUGUUAACAAGGACUGAAAGCCAAUGAACUGGGCGAUCAAAACAGGAUUUCAAGCAAUGAAUUAAAAUAGAAUCAAAGUUGUAUUACUCAAAUUAAUUGAAGCAAACAUUAAUGAGUCCUUUCUCUAACAAAUAUUAGAACUUCGGAAACUGCAAAUCAACUCCAAAUCCAGUACACUUGAUUUAAUCAAACACAUAAUCGACAACUACUUCAUGUUUCAUGAAUUGAGAUUUGAAAGACAAAUUCUACCUGCUUAUAGGAAAUUAAAUACAAAAUAACACAAAGCACUUUCAAUUCCACACAAAACCGCAGACAAUUAUAAUUAUAUCAUGUAUUUCAUUAAUUCAAAACAGGAUAACACUACAAAACCGCAGACAAUUAUAAUUAUAUCAUGUAUUUCAUUAAUUCAAAACAGGAUAACACUAUUGGGGAAUUGAACAGUACCUCAGAGAGCAUAAACAAAAAAGAACGCAGUGAUAAAAUAAGAAGGAAACACAUCUGCAUUCCCAGCAAAUAAACAACCAUGAAAACAGUCCCUUAAGAGCUCGAUUUCACUUUGAAAACCCACGAAUUAAAUAGCCAACUCAGCAAAAACCAACAACUCUUUGAAAUCUGUGUUUCAAGCUAUUUUCUUCUGUUUAGAUGAGAGCCAUGUGAGAGGAAGGUGAGCGAAUUUCUCUGCCUUCUGUAUGUGUAAGCGGAGGAAAGAGAGUGUCUGUGAGAGUGAGGUCAGAGAUGGAGCGGCUAGGGUUCUAGUGUAAGGGGGAGAUGAUCAGUUCUUCUAUGGGAAUGAAGGAAAGGGGGGGGGGGGGGAAGUGCACCGUUGCUUGUUGAAGUGAGGGGGUCCGUUCUUUUCAGUGUUGAGAAUCAAAAGGGAGG
rnacentral:lncRNA from 1 species